rnacentral:lncRNA from 1 species
AAGAUCAUGACAUAUCUUAUUACCAUACGGAAAUGAACCUAACUGGGUCACAUAAAUAAGAGUUAGGGUCUGGAUGUCAUCAAUUGAGCUAACCCAGUUCGAUUGAUUUGGAUUAGAUCCAAUUAGGUUCAAAGAAAUCGUGCUAGCACACGAUUGAGCCUAACUUUCUCCUCAUGUAAUCUUUUCUAUCUCGAUUGAGCCAAAUGUGAUUUGACUCACCCAAAGAACCUUGAGAAGAUUUCUCUCAGUCUGACUGAAGUCAGUCCAGCUC